AUUGAACGCUGGCGGCAGGCCUAACACAUGCAAGUCGAGCGGGGUUUUCGGACCUAGCGGCGGACGGGUGAGUAAUGCGUAGGAAGCUGCCCGAUAGAGGGGGAUACCAGUUGGAAACGACUGUUAAUACCGCAUAAUGUCUACGGACCAAAGUGUGGGACCUUCGGGCUACAUGCUAUCGGAUGCGCCUACGUGGGAUUAGCUAGUUGGUGAGGUAAUGGCUCACCAAGGCGACGAUCUCUAGCUGGUUUGAGAGGAUGAUCAGCCACACUGGAACUGAGACACGGUCCAGACUCCUACGGGAGGCAGCAGUGGGGAAUAUUGGGCAAUGGGCGCAAGCCUGAUUCAGCCAUGCCGCGUGUGUGAAGAAGGCCUUCAGGUUGUAAAGCACUUUCAGCGAGGAGGAAGGGUGGUGUGUUAAUAGCACAUCAUUUUGACGUUACUCGCAGAAGAAGCACCGGCUAACUCUGUGCCAGCAGCCGCCGUAAUAC
rnacentral:rRNA from 1 species